rnacentral:lncRNA from 7 species
UAUGCUGAUUUAGGUAGACAUUUCUAGUCUUGCUGGAUAUGAUGUUCCAUUCAGUUGUAAUGACCAAGCUUUUAACAAUUUGAGGUCAUAAUUAUUUUAGCUUAUUUAGCAAAUGCUGUGGCAGUUGAGUGUUUAUAGUGUAGUUAAGUUUCACCAAAAGGAAGAUAAGAAUCUUCAUAAAAACAUUUUAGAAACAUUACAUGCCUUUUUUAAUCCCAUCAGACAAAUUAGUUUGCUCUAAAGGUCUGUGGCUUUUAUUCUCUCUCAUCCUCUAUUUUUGGUUAUCUUUCUUAAGCAGGGUAAAAAGACAAAUCAUAGAACAGCUCAAUUUACUGUGACUUGAAUUGAGUAUUUGAAGGUAAAAAUUUCUUAUCCAGUCCUGCUGAGAUAGCACUGCAGAAGAAUUUGGUUUCUCAAAAGUGCAAGAUAUCCCCUGCUUUACUCCACACUGGUGUUUGAGUGGAAAAAAUGCACUGUGUCAGGGAGCAAAGAGUGAUAAAAAGCAGAAGGCUUCAAAGCCAGCCAGAUUGUUGAUGGAAUGUUUUCCUCCUAGAUGAACAUGAGAACACUGUACCUACAGAAGGGUUGCCCCAGGAGCCAGCUAGCAGCAUGGGGGUGGAAGCUCCACAUGUUAAACACAGUCUGCAGCUAUGUUGCUCCCAGACCCUUUGACACUGCUGCUGGGUGACAGAGAAACAAGCCUUCAUCAGAUGACAAGUAGUCUGCAGGCUGUAGAACUAGUGAAGGGAAACUCCCCUACAAAAAUCAAGUCUGUGCAAGAACUACAGUUUUAAAAGGUGCAUAGGAGAUGAAGAUGAUCUUACGAGGGGAAGAUAAGUAUGUAUAUGCAGUUGAAUUGGGAUUAGGACAAUAAGAAGAAACCUGUGCAAGUUUUUCUCUUUUGAAAUUGGGUGUCAAACACUUGGAGCUUUCAGUGAGUAUUCUUUGACUUGGACACAAUCAGAACCUAGAAUAAAUGCUUGGUGAACGAUGCAGUAUCUUACUGUAAAAUUUUUGCAGAAAUACAAUUGAUUAUAAACUGCAUAAAAUAAAACAAGUCCAAAUUUUUAUACCUGCUAUUAUGUACCACCCCACUCACAGUUGCCAAACAAGCUGUUUUUUCACCAUUUUAUAGCUUACAGUUGCCUGUGCAGCUAUAAUUCUCUCUGAACAAUCAUCCAUUGAGCGAUGAGUUCAAAUUCCUCUAUUAAAUCAGCAAUUUAGAACAUUUUCAGCAAAGUCUGAAUGAUGUGAACCAAUGCAGUCGUUCCCUACCCUAUGUGAAAUAAUUAAGUUUUAUUUGUGGAUUAAAAUGGUGCCACUUUCCUGUGCGCUGCCUUCAUAAUGUCGUGUAUGUAUAUGGAACAAAUGAAUUCCAGAGUUUCCGAACGGUAUUUCUUCAAAACUUCUUGGAAUCUUGAUUCUAUAAACUCUUUAGAUGCUAAAUAACCAACAUAUUAUUCACUAGAUAGGAAACUUACUGUCUUUCUUUGAAGCAAAAUAUACACAGGUACUUGUAAUUGCUCUACAACUUGCACGGCCCAGUACAAGUGCACGUUCUUUAUUUGUAACAGCAG